rnacentral:rRNA from 1 species
UGAGUAAUGCCUAGGAAUCUGCCUGGUAGUGGGGGAUAACGUUCGGAAACGGACGCUAAUACCGCAUACGUCCUACGGGAGAAAGCAGGGGACCUUCGGGCCUUGCGCUAUCAGAUGAGCCUAGGUCGGAUUAGCUAGUUGGUGAGGUAAUGGCUCACCAAGGCGACGAUCCGUAACUGGUCUGAGAGGAUGAUCAGUCACACUGGAACUGAGACACGGUCCAGACUCCUACGGGAGGCAGCAGUGGGGAAUAUUGGACAAUGGGCGAAAGCCUGAUCCAGCCAUGCCGCGUGUGUGAAGAAGGUCUUCGGAUUGUAAAGCACUUUAAGUUGGGAGGAAGGGCAGUUACCUAAUACGUGAUUGUUUUGACGUUACCGACAGAAUAAGCACCGGCUAACUCUGUGCCAGCAGCCGCGGUAAUACAGAGGGUGCAAGCGUUAAUCGGAAUUACUGGGCGUAAAGCGCGCGUAGGUGGUUAGUUAAGUUGGAUGUGAAAUCCCCGGGCUCAACCUG